rnacentral:rRNA from 1 species
UACGGGGGGGGCAAGCGUUGUUCGGAAUUACUGGGCGUAAAGGGCUCGUAGGCGGCCAACUAAGUCGGAUGUGAAAUCCCCAGGCUCAACCUGGGAACUGCAUCCGAUACUGGAUGGCUUGAGAUUGGGAGAGGGAUGCGGAAUUCCAGGUGUAGCGGUGAAAUGCGUAGAUAUCUGGAGGAACACCGGUGGCGAAGGCGGCAUCCUGGACCAACACUGACGCUGAGGAGCGAAAGCCAGGGGAGCAAACGGG